rnacentral:rRNA from 1 species
UACGUAGGUGGCGAGCGUUGUCCGGAUUUACUGGGCGUAAAGAGCGCGCAGGCGGUCGUAUAAGUCGCGUGUGAAAGCCCCCGGCUCAACUGGGGAGGGUCACGCGAUACUGUUCGACUUGAAGGCAGGAGAGGGAAGCGGAAUUCCCGGUGUAGUGGUGAAAUGCGUAGAUAUCGGGAGGAACACCAGUGGCGAAGGCGGCUUCCUGGCCUGUUCUUGACGCUGAGGUGCGAAAGCGUGGGGAGCAAACAGGG